CCCGACUGCUAUCGGAUUGAGAUUUAGCCAUGCGAGUCGAACGUUCCCCUGUUGCGGGGAGCGUGGCGUACGGCUCAGUAACACGUAGUCAACCUGCCCUGGAGACAUGGACAACCCCGGGAAACUGGGAUUAAUCCGUGAUAGGUCAUCUCACCUGGAAGGAGAGAUGGCUUAAAGGGGUGCGAGAGCUUCUUUCUCGCAUUCGCUCCAGGAUGGGACUGCGGCCGAUCAGGCUGUUGGUGGGGUAAUGGCCCACCAAACCUGUAACCGGUACGGGCCUUGAGAGAGGGGGCCCGGAGAUGGACACUGAGAGAAGGGUCCAGGUCCUACGGGGCGCAGCAGGCGCGAAACCUUCGCAAUGCGCGAAAGCGUGACGAGGUUAAUCCGAGUGGUCCCCGCUGAGGGGAUCUUUUGUUGGCUGUAAACUGUCCGAUGCAUAAGGGGAGGCCA
rnacentral:rRNA from 1 species